UUGCAUCAGUGUAAAAUCGACUCAAGUAGUGUUUUGUUUUGAUUCGUGGUUAAGUCACUUUGUCUCUCCAAAUCAACUACAUUUUUUACAUAAUUGGAACCACCCGGUCAUGUCACGGAUUCGAGCCUCCAGUGACCAUUUGUCGACCUGGAGCAAACCCUAGCAUGUGACCGAUCAAAUUUAAAGAAUUUUCAGCAACAAUUUAUUGGUGGUCAAAGCAGCUACAUGAUUUCAUGGCCAGGUGAUUUCAUGUGUGAAAAGAUUUAGUUUGAUAUGGCCUCUAAUGGAUCGGCGCUGAAAAUUCAUGAAAUUUGAUAGGUCACAUGCUAUUAGUAAGUAAGUAUUCCGAGAUACUGCAUCAUAAAUAUUAUAGUUUAUUUCUCGAAGUACUGUAAUAUUCAACUAGGGCGUUACAAUACUAGGAGAUGCGUUUCCAUGCUUAUAUUGGGUAGUGUACCUAUGAAAAUUUGUAAAGUAAUUGCAUGUAAAAUCGAGCAUAUUCAAGUAGUUCUAUCUCGUAACGUUUGUGUUGUCACCCAAAUAAAACUUCAAGUACUCUCAAUCUGACAGAUACCAACAACAAAGCCAGACGAAGUAAAGAAACCAUAUUGGGAAUACGGAAUAAUGCCCUAUUCUUCUUUCAACGAAAUUCAACCGUACAGGCUUCCGUUGCCAAUUGGAAACUCAACCUAUGCCCCCCUACUUAUAAUAUGGAUACAGGAAACUCAACCGCACAGGUUGCUCCGUUGUCGAUUGUAUCGUUUCCUAUAAGCAACAAUAAUGGCACCGUUGCGGACGAUACGGACGACUACCUUGAAGAGCCAUUGGGAAGAAACGAAACGAUCGUGCUGACAAGGUACAAACCUGGCGAAACGGCCCCAAUUGCUCCUACGCAAAAGAAGAUAAAACGACGCAUCAGGAUUAACCCCGAGACAGGCCAACGACAGGUCAUGAAACGCCGAAAGGUCCCGAAAGCAGUGGUCGAAGAGACAGAAAUGUAACAAUAAACUGUGUGUUGAAUUUG